GUAGGAGGCAAGCGUUGUCCGGAAUUACUGGGCGUAAAGGGUGUGUAGGCGGGACGGUAAGUCGGGCGUGAAAUCCCACGGCUCAACCGUGGAACUGCGUUCGAUACUGCCGACCUUGAGUACGGGAUAGGAGAGUGGAACUCACGGUGUAGCGGUAAAAUGCGUAGAUAUCGUGAGGAACACCGGUGGCGUAGGCGGCUCUCUGGCCCGAUACUGACGCUGAGACACGAAAGCCAGGGUAGCGAACGGGAUUAGAUACCCCGGUAGUCCUGGCCGUAAACGAUGGGCACUAGGUGUGGGAGCAUCGACCCCUUCGUGCCGAAGCUAACGCAUUAAGUGCCCCCGCCUGGGGAGUACGAUCGCAAGGUUG
rnacentral:rRNA from 1 species